UGAUUAACCCUUGAAGAUCUUGAGGAUUCAUGGGAUAGGGAGAUAACAAGAAUUAACACUCUGUUCCAGAAAGAUCGCCAUACACUAGCUUAUGACAAAGGCUGGAGAGUGCGCACAUACUUUGUUGAUGUUAAAUAACGAAACAGGUCGUCCAUACGAGUGUCUGGGCUGGGUAGAAG